rnacentral:rRNA from 1 species
AGCGAACGCUGGCGGCAGGCCUAACACAUGCAAGUCGAACGAACCUUUCGGGGUUAGUGGCGGACGGGUGAGUAACACGUGGGAACGUGCCUUUAGGUUCGGAAUAACUCAGGGAAACUUGUGCUAAUACCGAAUGUGCCCUUCGGGGGAAAGAUUUAUCGCCUUUAGAGCGGCCCGCGUCUGAUUAGCUAGUUGGUUGAGGUAAUGGCUCACCAAGGCGACGAUCAGUAGCUGGUCUGAGAGGAUGAUCAGCCACAUUGGGACUGAGACACGGCCCAAACUCCUACGGGAGGCAGCAGUGGGGAAUCUUGCGCAAUGGGCGAAAGCCUGACGCAGCCAUGCCGCGUGAAUGAUGAAGGUCUUAGGAUUGUAAAAUUCUUUCACCGGGGACGAUAAUGACGGGACCCGGAGAAGAAGCCCCGGCGAACUGCGU